rnacentral:rRNA from 1 species
UUACGUACUAACUACCGACAUUAUUCUGUGAGCGAAGGAAGCGAGGGGAUCGCAAGACCUUGCGCUGAUUGAGCGGCCGAUAUCAGAUUAGCUAGUUGGUGAGUAAAGGCUCACCAAGGCGACGAUCUGUAGCGGGUCUGAGAGGAUGAUCCGCCACACUGGAACUGAGACACGGUCCAGACUCCUACGGGAGGCAGCAGUGGGGAAUUUUUGGACAAUGGGCGCAAGCCUGAUCCAGCCAUGCCGCGUGAGUGAAGAAGGCCUUCGGGUUGUAAAGCUCUUUCGGCCGGGAAGAAAUCGCACAGGUUAAUACCCUGUGUGGAUGACGGUACCGGAAUAAGAAGCACCGGCUAACUACGUG